rnacentral:rRNA from 1 species
UACGUAGGGUGCGAGCGUUGUCCGGAAUUAUUGGGCGUAAAGAGCUUGUAGGCGGUCUGUCGCGUCUGCUGUGAAAAUCCGGGGCUCAACCCCGGACUUGCGGUGGGUACGGGCAGACUAGAGUGCGGUAGGGGAGACUGGAAUUCCUGGUGUAGCGGUGAAAUGCGCAGAUAUCAGGAGGAACACCGGUGGCGAAGGCGGGUCUCUGGGCCGUAACUGACGCUGAGGAGCGAAAGCAUGGGGAGCGAACAGG